rnacentral:rRNA from 1 species
AUGGCCAAUAGUGACAAUGGCCUUGACAGAACCACUUUCACAUUCACACUUUCUGAGUCAGAAAAGCAAAGACUCAAUAAAACUGCAGUCAAUUAUCUUACCAGACCCAUUAGUUUCUUUCAAUUGGAAGAGUUAUUCUCGGAUCAAUCUCAUGCUGAUGGCUCACUCGCAGUUGACCAAACCACUGUCAAUGUGGAUGAUGGUAGUGAUGACAGCGAGGAUGUGAGGGAACUUGAGGGAAAUCUAAUUCCAGCAGACAGUGAUGAAGCUGACUUUGACACUAUUGAUCGUCGCAGUCCUAAAGUUGACUUGGAUGGCAAUCCAUUAAACAAGAAGAGCAAGUGUGCGUCAUCAUCACCUUCCAAGAAGCCAACCAAGGGCAAAGCAAACAAGAAGGGCAAGGUAUCUAAUGAUGAUAUGGUAACCAAUAUCAAGAAGCUAGCUGAAUCCAUUGCAUCCCCUAUUGUGUAUGUGAAACCAAUGACACCUGCAGAUCCUUAUGCAAAUCUUUGGAAGCGGAUCAAUGCUCUUACAAUCCCAGCUAAGGAUAAACUUGAGAUUAUUGCCUAUCUAUCCAAGCCAUACCAAGAUAUAUUUCAUAGCUAUCUUAACUAUGCUGAUGAAACAAUUCUUCGAGAGUGGGUCAUUAGCUACUUUGAGCCUCAGUUUCAUGAAGGUGGCAAUGAUGGAUCUGCGGCUGCUCACUGA